AAGAUAUGUAUAUUACCUUUGAACGCGCGACGGUAGUCACCCACAGCUAAACAUCCAACAACUAAAAUCUAGACUGUCAGGAGCUUCUCACUGGUCUUUAAUGGUCAGAAAAUAUAUUUUGAUUUCGACGUCUGCUAUUUCAACAUCGAUCCCGAAUACUGUUCAAAGACGCUGCAUCUCGCUUGGUCAUUCCCAAAAUAAGAUUUAAAUUGCGACAAUUUCACAAAAAGGAACUAAGUUGGAGCCUGGUGCUGUUGAAAAAGAUCUGGGUAUAUUCAGUAGCCACGAUUUAAGCUGGAAUCAUCACGUCGAUAUUAUCUCGUCCAGAGAGAGAACAUUUUCAGAGUCGUGACUUGUUUGGUCUCUAAGAUUGACCAUCUCAAGUUUGGUUCAGGAUUCAGUUUAUUUCAAUUAGGAAGAGUAGGCACCGCGGAGUGGGCACAUCGGACGCGGCACAACGGAAGUUUGUUUCUAUUCUCCCUCAGCUUGCAGAAGAACGCCUGCGAUAUUUUCUGUAACAUGGCGGGCAUGUUGAGGGGAUAAGAUCUGUUUAUCCUGCCUUAACCACGUAAUGAUGGUCAAUGAUGCUGCACUCUUUUCAAGUGUGGGAAAAAAUGUUUACAAACAGCUUACCAUUUGGUGCGUGGGAUGUUCAAAUGGACAAAAAAUAUUCCAGGGUCUGGCACUGGCUGAUGCAACUGGGGUACUCUGAGUGGUAAAUGCAGAUGUGUCAAUGCCAGCCUUUGAAAGUACAGUCUCUGUCCAUCGGGCAAUACUCUUUGCACCAGAUUCUUUGGCAAGUCGAAGCAGAAUAUUUGGGUAGGUAUUUGUUACAUUUUGAAUCUAGAUGUCACUAACACAUCAUUCAACGUAAGUGGUGUUGGAUUGUAGUUUCAGUAUAUUUCGGAAAGAUGAAAUCAAUGUUGCUGUAAUUCCCUUGUGACCCUCUAAGACAUAAAGUAUUUUAAGGAAGAUGUUGGAGUUAGAUUAAAAGAGGAUGAAAGUCAAGGAUGGCUGUGUGUUAAAUUACAAGGACUUGUUAGGAAACACAUCAUUUUGCAUAAACUCACAACUGAAGAUUUUGAUUAUAACUAUUGUGUUCUGCAACUCAAGGUUUUGGAAUUAAGGUGCUGCAGCGUUGCCCUGUAUUUUCUAAAAUACUGCUUGAUUAUUGGUUGUAUCAUAAUUUGAUACAAUUUACAGUUAUCAUCAUCUGAAAAAAAAGUUCUUUGUCUCACAUAAUAUUUAUGUGCCGAGAGUAAUCAUUUUAUUAUAUAUAACAAAAGUAUAUUCAUUUGCUUUCUGCAAGCCUAAAAGAGUGGCAGCUAAGGCAAAUAUAGGUUUGUUGAAUAAGUUUGUUACAUGCAGCUUUCAUGUAUAACGCAGCAGAGUUAACGCUCCAAUUACAAGACUUUCUCUUACAUAUACAGAGGCUUAUCCCAGUUAACUUCCUACAGCAGGCUGAUUGGGAUGCUAAUCCAUCACUGGCUUUUUCAACCUUCCUUACUUACAUUUCAUUAAUUUUGUCUGACAGCUUGUACAUGUCAGUAUCAAUUUAUGUUCCUGAGGGUGGAAGGAAAGACGAAAUGUAAAGUCAGCCUAGGAGCGAAAUCAAAACCUCUCUGGCUGGACAUAAUGUGCCUGUUUCAGUAGCGUGAAGGGACCUAAGGUGGAAAAAGGCAAUGGAAAGCACAACACAGAGGUUAAGGCUUUAACCAUAAAAUUAUCUCUUGCUUGUUGACCAGUGGGACAUUGUCUCCCAAAUGUACUUCACAGUGGACAGCUCCAAACACAACCGGGUUAAAAGUCUCUAUUUGAUGACCGAGAGUCAUAAAGUGGUGGCUGGCAGAAAGUUUUUAAUUCCUAGAAUAAAAAGGAGAAGAUCAGCUUGUGCAGUAUAACAUGAUGAAGCACACUACUCUUGAACUUUUUAAUAUAAUCUAGCAAAAGAGUGUGAAUAAGCAAGAUGGCAGGCAAUGUCAGCAAAUGUUUAAGGAAGUUGAUGCAAAAACUUUUGCAUCAAGAAACAAAAAAUAUAAAUAAAAAGGGUGGAACAUUAAUCAUC